AAUCUCGCUUUGGAUUCCCUUCAGACCCAGCUUUCUCACUUUGCUGCAAAAGCUCUCCCAGGAUGCGUUUCAGGGUCUGUUGAGGCUCAAACCAGGAACCCAUGUCAUGCACUAAUUUUGUAGCCGUAGAUUUUGAAACACAGAUGUUCACUGUGACGCUCCCCAAAGCCAUGCACCUAAGGAGAAUCCAAAAAGAUGUAGUUAGUUGCAUUGAUCCACAUCAACACACCAGUUCUGGUGCUUUUCCCCUUUCCCCAGAAUCAGGUCUUUUGUACAGGUAACAGGUCUUAACUAGCCCUUCAAGAGCCAACCACCAUAAAUAGGAUUGUUGGGUUGAUAGCAUUUCCUUCCCUAGGAUGACAGAGCCAAAAACCAGCACCAGAGGACAGUUUUUAUGAUGCCACAGUUGCAGGGCAAACAAUGAAAGUAGAGUACCCCCCCACACACACUCUUUGUCAGGCUUUGCUCUACCACUGCCAAUGUUUGUGAGACAAGAAGCGUCAUGAGUUGCGAUGCUGAUGUUCCACUCCUCGUCUUCCUCCAACUGGCAUGAGGGAUUCAAAUUUUGGCGUGCCAGGAAAAGCUCAGUGCGAGGGGAGAAGGCACGGAAGAGAGCUGGCAAGGACAUGAGCUUGGACUCUUUUGGAAUAAUGAACAUUCAAAAGGAUCCUGAUGGAUCCAUAUUCCUCCUGUCCUGCAAGAGAUGAAAGGAUGUUAUAUUUAUUUGGCGUUAUAUUUAUUUGAAUAUAUUGAUUUGUCUGGGUGUUUUAUUUACAUGCCUCCUUUCUCCCAAUGAGGAGAUCCAAGGUGGUUCGCAAUGUUAAGAAGAACAGAAUUAAAAACACCAGUUAAACAUUAUAACAUUUUCCAAAUGGGAUUGUCUUCUCUGACCUAUAGGGUUGCCGCAUCACUGAAGACCAAGAGAAUCUGGUUGAACAUAAAGGAAGUGAAGCCCAGACUUUGUAAAAUAAAGGAUUCAGGCGCAUGGAUCUGGACCACUGAAUCUGUGAUGACCUAUUAAAUGCUAUACCCAAAUUAGCCCGUGGGAUUUCCUUGGCGAGUGAACAGCUCCCGUCGAAUGCAGACCAAAGUAAAUAAAAUAAUUAACAACUGGAAUAGGAGAGGAAGC
rnacentral:lncRNA from 1 species